UCACAGAGGGUCUAGAAAGCUGCGUGGUGAGGCGUCAGUGAGACACACAGAUAUUGUGAAGGGAGAGCUGAUGGUCCUUGAAGGUGAACCGGUAUUUGCAAGGGAAGUGGGGAGGAAGCACGACCUGGGAGGAGCCGACUCCCAGGCUGGGUGGAUUGUCGUUCCUUGACAGCCCUAGAGGAGACUGGCAAGUCCUUCAUCUCCCCGAGUUUCUUUUCUUCUUCUGAGAUGUAGGGCUAAUAAUACCAGCCUCCCCAGACACGAUAUCGCACUUAGCUGGGAGCCUGUCACAAAGUACAUGCUCUUCCGACAGCACAGCUGGGCUCAGUGGCUUACCUGGAGUCACCCGCAAGUCAACGACCAGCAUAAGCCAGAACCCAGACCCUACACUUAGGACGUGUCACAGCAGGCAGGGCUGCGCCUUGGCACACAACUCUCCAGAUAUGCAACCUUCCAGCCAAACAGGCCUCAGCAGCUGAGGCUGAAUUUUUUUUUUUUUUUUUCCUUUCUCAAUUGUGCUUAUGCGUGGGGUUGUUUAUCUAACUUGGCUGAAGCUUGAGGCCCGGACCUAUACACAUAUCUUUUUAAUUAUUCCACAAAUGAGACAUGCUCAUAGAAUAAAAAUUGGAAAACACAAAUAAGCAAAAAAUAAAGCAAAAAAGCAGAGAGCGAGGGAAAGAGAGAGCACGCAUGUGUGAGAACAAGUAUCUAAAUUAGUACAUGUAUAUCAAGAGGGGCACAUAAAGAACUAAAGAUCUCAUUGCAAGCUGCUUCUUUUUUUAAUGUAUUGGUUUUUAUUUGAAGGAUGAUUGCUUUACAAUAGUGUGUUGGUUUCUGCCGCACAUCAACAUAAGUCCGCCAUAGGUACACAUAUGUCGCCGCCUUUUUGAACCUUCCUCCCACCUCCCACCUAAAUUGCAGGAUUCUUUAACACAGUAAAAGACUGGAAGCAACCUGAGUAUCCAAGAAGAGGAAAGUUUCGUUUGUUUUUAGUAUCCCAUUUCUUUGUUUUUUCCUUUUCUUAUUUUUGUUUUAAUUAAAGUAUAGUUGAUGUACAACAUUACAUUAGUUUCGGGUAUACAAAGUAGAGACUCAAUAUUUCUGUACAUUAUACUCCACUUACAGUUGUUAUAGAAUACUGCCUAUAUUCCCUGGCUGUACAAUAUAUCCUUAUAUCUUUUAUUUAUUCUAUUCGUAGUGGUUUGUAGGGCUGCCCUGGUGGAUCAGAUGGUAAACAAUCAGCCUGCAAUGCAAGAGACCCGGAUUCGAUCUCUGGAAAUCCAGAGGCAGGGGAGUGGAUCCAGCAGGCAUGCAUUCAGCUGCAAGUAACACGAAUCUCACCACUGGUAUCAUUAUCUACGGCGGUGAUAAUUCUGCAUAACAAACACCCCAAACGUUUUAUUCUCUCGAAUAUGGAGUUGCUGCAGGUCAGCUGGCCUGGUGUGGAUGUGUCGGGGUGGUUCUGCUGAUCUUGGCUAGGCCCAUCCACCUGCCUGCUGUUCUGCUGGAAGUCUGCUGACCUAGGCUGGCCUGGCAGAUGGGACUCUGCCCUGCCUCACAUGCCUCUCACCUUCUUCUGGGACCCAAAGACGUUACCAGAUGUGUCUGCUUACAGUGUGAAGUGAAAGUGCAAGUCGCUCAGUCCUGUCCCACUCUUUGCGACCCCGGGAACUAGACAGUCCCUGGAAUUCUAUAGGUCAGAACACUGGAGUGGGUAGCCUUUCUCUUCUCCAAGGCAUCUUGCCAACCCAGGGAUCGAACCCAGGUUUUCUGCAUUGCAGGCAGGUUCUUUACAGUAGUGGCAGAGGCAUAAAAGCCAGGUGGAAGCAUGCAAGGUCUCUGAGAGCCUAGUCUCCUGCGGACACACUGUCACUCUCAUCUCAUUCUGCUGGCAAAAACAAACCAUGUGGCUGAACUCAAGUCAAGGGGGAGGGAAUAUGCUCCACCCCUUUUGUGGGAGGAACCGCAAGGUCACAGGUCAAGAGGCGUGGAUCCAGGCAACAGUGAAGAAUUCCUCAGAUCCAGUGUCAUUUCUGUUUGUUGGUUACCUACCUCACUGACUUCUCUUUUUCAGUCUCACCUAUGGUUUUCCGGUCUCUAUCCCUUCUUCCCUCCACAUUCAAGAGAAUUAAAGGUUUGGGGUGGUUUGUUAUGUAACAUUAUUGCACCUGUAGACGACCAAUACCUGCAGUGACGGGAAUGAGAUUGCAGUGAGGGGAGGAGAGAAGAGGGUGGAUAAAAAUCUCUGGUCAGUAGAGGUGAGGCAGACCUUGCCAGCUGCCCAA